UCAAGCUACUAAGAGCGCAUGGUGGAUGCCUUGGCAGUUGGAGGCGAUGAAGGGCGUGGUAAGCUGCGAUAAGCGUCGGACAGGUGCACACAACCUUUGACCCGGCGAUACCCGAAUGGGGCAACCCGUGCGGAGUCAUGUCCGCACAUUCCGGGAUGAAUCCAUAGUUCCGGAAGGCGAACCCGGUGAAGUGAAACAUCUCAGUAACCGGAGGAAGAGAUAGAAAACUCCAUUCCCUGAGUAGUGGCGAGCGAAAGGGGAGAAGCCUAAACCGAUUCCGGUGUCAAGCCGACAGGCGUUGCCGGAACGGUGUUGCGGGACCGGCCUCGCUGACUGUCGUGAGGCGAGGGAGUCAAAAAGGCCGUCUGUUAGCCGAAGUCUUCUGGAAAGAAGUACCAUAGAGGGUGAUAGUCCCUUAGGCGAAAGCGGGCGGUCCUCCCGGCCGAGUUCCCAAGUACCGCGGGACACGAGAAACCCUGCGGGAAUCCGGGAAGACCACUUCCUAAGGCUAAACACUACCAACUGACCGAUAGUGAACCAGUACCGUGAGGGAACGGUGAAAAGAACCCCUGGCGGGGAGUGAAAUAGAACCUGAAACCAUGUGCUUACAAUCAGUGGGAGCAGCUGCUGUUCUUUCCGCAAGGUUUGGGCAGCGCUGUGACCGCGUGCCUUUUGCAUAAUGACCCGGCGAGUGAAUGUGUGCGGCAAGGCUAAGGCUCUUUGAGCCGUAACCGUAGCGAAAGCGAGUCCGAACAGGGCGAUUCAGUCGUACGCAUUCGACCCGAAACCCGUGUGAUCUACCCAUGGCCAGGUUGAACUUGAGGUAACACUCAAGGGAGGACCGAACCGGUGACCCUUGCAAUAGUCUCGGAUGAGCUGUGGGUUGGAGUGAAAGGCUAAUCAAACUGGGUGAUAGCUGGUUCUCCCCGAAAUGCCUUUAGGGGCAGUCUGUGGCGUUCAGUUGCGGAGGUAGAGCACUGGAUGGGCGCUUCCUCACAAUGUGAGGGAAAACCCGACCAAACUCCGAAUGCCGCAACUCUAGAGCCAUGGAAAGAGGCUCUGAGCUCUAAGGUCCAGGGCCGAGAGGGGAAUAACCCAGACCACCGGCUAAGGCCCCCAAGUGUAUGCUAAGUGGAAAAAGAGGUGAGGUCACUCAGACAGCUGGGAUGUUGGCUUAGAAGCAGCAAUCAUUUAAAGAGUGCGUAACAGCUCACCAGUCGAGUGGUCUUGCGCUGAAAAUUCACCGGGGCUCAAGCAUGCCGCCGAAGCCGUGGGCUUCCGCCGCAAGGCGGGAGCGGUAGGGGAGCGUUCUGUUGUAGGCAGAAGGCGUGCCGUGAGACACGCUGGACGAACCAGAAGUGAUUAUGCCGGGACGAGUAGCGUUAAAACAGGUGAAAAACCUGUUCGCCGAAAACCCAAGGUUUCCUGGGGAAGGUUAAUCCGCCCAGGGUUAGUCGGUUCCUAAGCCGAGGCCGAAAGGCGUAGGCGAUGGGAAUCCGGUCAACAUUCCGGAACCACCUUGGCGUCGUUACGAGCUAAGGGGGGACGCAGAAGGAAUGGCCCGGCCCCGUGUUGGAUCGGGGUCUAAGCUGUCGGGAUGGGGCGCAGGCAAAUCCGCGCCCGUAAUUCCCGGCGGCGAUGGGGACCUUGCCGCGAGGCAAGGGAACCGGGCCGGCCCUGCUGCCGAGAAAAGCCCCUAUGUCAGACGUCAGGGUGACCGUACCGUAAACCGACACUGGUGGGUGAGGAGAGUAUCCAAAGGCGCUCGGGUGAUCUCUCGUUAAGGAACUCGGCAAUCUAACCCCGUAACUUCGGGAGAAGGGGUCCCGCCGCAAGGCGGGCGCAGUGAAGUGGCUCUACCGACUGUUUAACAAAAACACAGGUCUCUGCUAAGCCGUGAAGGCGACGUAUAGGGACUGACACCUGCCCGGUGCCGGAAGGUUAAGGAAGGGGGUCAGCUGCCGCAAGGCGGCGAAGCUCUCGACCGAAGCCCCGGUAAACGGCGGCCGUAACUCUAACGGUCCUAAGGUAGCGAAAUUCCUUGUCGGGUAAGUUCCGACCUGCACGAAUGGUGUAACGAGUGGAGCGCUGUCUUGACGAGAAGCCCGGCGAAACUGUAGUGGCGGUGAAGAUGCCGCCUGCCCGCGAUUGGACAAAAAGACCCCGUGAACCUUUACUAUACCUUGUCAUUGGAUUUUGGCUGGGCAUGUGUAGCAUAGGUGGGAGGCUGUGAGGCCGGGCCGCCAGGUCCGGCGGAGCCAUCAGUGAAAUACCACCCUUGUUCAGUUGGAGUUCUAACACUGUGCUCUGAAGCGAGCCGGUGGACAGUGGCAGGCGGGUAGUUUGACUGGGGCGGUCGCCUCCCAAACGGUAACGGAGGCGUUCAAAGGUCGGCUCAGCA
rnacentral:rRNA from 1 species